AGAGUUUGAUCCUGGCUCAGAUUGAACGCUGGCGGCAUGCCUUACACAUGCAAGUCGAACGGCAGCGGGGACUUCGGUCCGCCGGCGAGUGGCGAACGGGUGAGUAAAGCAUCGGAACGUGCCCUGAAGUGGGGGAUAACGUAGCGAAAGUUACGCUAAUACCGCAUAUUCUGUGAGCAGGAAAGCGGGGGAUCUUCGGACCUCGUGCUUUAGGAGCGGCCGAUGUCGGAUUAGCUAGUUGGUGAGGUAAAGGCUCACCAAGGCGACGAUCCGUAGCGGGUCUGAGAGGAUGAUCCGCCACACUGGGACUGAGACACGGCCCAGACUCCUACGGGAGGCAGCAGUGGGGAAUUUUGGACAAUGGGCGCAAGCCUGAUCCAGCCAUGCCGCGUGAGUGAAGAAGGCCUUCGGGUUGUAAAGCUCUUUCGGCGGGGAAGAAAUUGCUUAGGUUAAUACCUUGAGUAGAUGACGGUACCCGCAUAAGAAGCACCGGCUAACUACGUGCCAGCAGCCGCGGUAAUACGGGGGGUGCAAGCGUUGUUCGGAAUUAUUGGGCGUAAAGCGCGUGUAGGCGGUCUGAUUAGUCUGAUGUGAAAGCCCUGGGCUCAACCCAGGAAGUGCAUUGGAUACUGUCAGACUUGAAUACGGGAGAGGGUAGUGGAAUUCCUAGUGUAGGAGUGAAAUCCGUAGAUAUUAGGAGGAACACCGGUGGCGAAGGCGGCUACCUGGACCGAUAUUGACGCUGAGACGCGAAAGCGUGGGUAGCAAACAGGAUUAGAUACCCUGGUAGUCC
rnacentral:rRNA from 1 species